UUUUAUAAUAUUAUAACAUGUAAUGAUGAUUUUGCAUUAAUUAUGACAAGAGUCACGUCUAAACUUUUUGGGCCAUUAAAUGUUGAUGUCACUUCGUUUUUAAUGGUAAAAAUCUCCCUUCUAACUGUAUAGCCGCGCUUCUCAACGUGAAACAAAAAUAUCUCCAACUAAACCGGAACAGUUUACCUAACUAAACCUGACUAACUAAACCAUAUAUUCAACAGUUUCUCAACUGUAGCAGCAAGGGCAAAAGAUUCAAAUUUCAGUUAAAAAGACAAAACGUGAAAACCACUUUUGACUUUACCAAUCCCUAAAAAUAAAAUAUAGUCAAAAGGUGUGGCCGCAAAUUACCCUAACUAGAAUUACUGAAGAGUGGAGAGUAUCCGUGCUAUGUGCUGAU
rnacentral:sRNA from 1 species